rnacentral:rRNA from 1 species
UCCCUAGGGGCUUGCUCUUAGGGGAAAGUGGCGAAAGGGGCAGUAACGCAUGGGUAACCUACCCCGGGGACUGGUAUAGCCUUCCUAACGGAAGGGUAAUCCCGGGCAAUGUCGUUGGGGCGCAUGUCCUGACGAUGAGAUGAAUUUCGCCUCGGGAGGGGCUCAUGUAGUAUUAGCUAGUUGGUGAGGUAACGGCCCACCAAGGCCAAGAUGCUUAGCGGGUGUGAGAGCACGACCCGCGCCACUGGCACUGAGACACUGGCCAGACACCUACGGGUGGCUGCAGUCGAGGAUCUUCGGCAAUGGGCGCAAGCCUGACCGAGCGACGCCGCGUGCGCGAUGAAGGCCUUCGGGUUGUAAAGCGCUGUCGUGGGGGAGAAAAGCCCGCAAGGGUUUGAUCUAUCCCAGGAGGAAGCACGGGCUAAGUUCGUGCCAGCAGCCGCGGUAAGACGAACCGUGCAAACGUUGUUCGGAAUCACUGGGCUUAAAGGGCGCGUAGGCGGGCCAGCCAGUCCGGGGUGAAAUCUUUCGGCUUAACCGGAAAAGUGCCUUGGAUACUGCUGGUCUGGAGGAAGGUAGGGGCAGGUGGAACUUCUGGUGGAGCGGUGAAAUGCGUUGAUAUCAGAAGGAACGCCGGUGGCGAAAGCGACCUGCUGGACCUUUUCUGACGCUGAGGCGCGAAAGCUAGGGGAGCAAACGGGAUUAGAUACCCCGGUAGUCCUAGCCCUAAACGAUGGGUACUAGGUUGUGGACUAGACAUGGGUUCACAGCCGAAGCUAAAGUGCUAAGUACCCCGCCUGGGGAGUAUGGUCGCAAGGCUG